GCUGCUUUUACCGAUUUACCAAAAAUUUAGAUUUACUUCUCACUCCUCAACACUGCUUACAAAGACGAAAGGUUCGUGCCGAAUUUGCGUCGCAUUGAAGCAGGGCAUUUCCAACGGCCGGUCGUCUCCGAACGUCGAGGGGGCUGUUUCGUGUAACGCCGGAAUCGCAGGGGAUCGUUCAGACAUUUUAUCGAACAGUAUGGCUUCACGAGGGGCAAACGUGGUGCUAUCGAGGGCUAAUAGAAUGAAGACGAAGUUGCAGUCAGCACUAUCAGCGAGUUUAUUGGAAAUUGAGGACGUUUCGCACCAGCAUGCUGGGCAUGCGGCUGUGAAAGGCAGCGCUGGAGAGACUCAUUUCAAUGUGAAGAUUGUGUCUCCAAAAUUUGAAGGGCAGAGCCUUGUGAAGCGCCAUAGAAUGGUGUAUGAUGCUUUGGCUGAAGAGCUUCAAUCUGGGUUACAUGCAAUUUCAAUAGUGGCAAAAACUCCACAAGAAACUGGAGCAAAAUGAUUUUCAGAUUCGCCUCACAAUAGUGGGCCAAAUUGUGAAGCCAAGAAAGGAGGAGUGAACUUUACCUCUCAACUCAUAGGAAUUUCGAAAAUGUAUGUGUAUACUCGAGGUUGUUGUCUUUCUAAUUUGUUCUCCAAAAAAAUGUUAAAGACCAAAUACAUUGUGGCUCCUUACAAAUACUUCUAGCUUUGCUGCUCUCCCUUGAUUAUAAAGAUAGACUUCAUGUCUUGAGUUGAUUCUGAAUUUAGGUA